UUUUCGUAGGUGAACCUGCGGAAGGAUCAUUAAUGUGUUUGGGCCUCACGGCUCUUCAUUCCGACGCUGUGCGCCUUCGGGCUGCACGCUGAGGGAGCAUAUAUCCACCCCUGUGCACACACACGGUGGCGAGCUGGGUAACGGCUCGCCGCUGAUCUUUACACACGUCUAAAAGUCAUUGUAUGUUUAUUUGAGAUAAAAACACAACUUUCAGCAACGGAUCUCUUGGCUCUC
rnacentral:misc_RNA from 1 species